rnacentral:tmRNA from 1 species
GGGGUUGUACUGGUUUCGACGGGGGUUUUGAAGUUGUAGAAGCCAUUCGCAGACUAGGACUGCGUCAACAACUUAGAACUAAAAUUAAACGCAAACAAUAAUUACGAAUUAGCUGCAGCGUAAGCAUGCAGCUUGUCGACCUUAGGCAACUCGCAGCUUAAGACCUCGGCAUCAAAUUAGCGGGGACCUUUACCUUCAAAGCUUUGAGAUGGUAAAAGAUUUAUGAAGCUACUGAAAUCCAGAGCCUGUCUGUCGGCGUUGGAUGGAGGGAACAGCAUGCAAAGCGCUAUGUUAAUAGCACUUUAGGCAUUGCAUAAAAGACUGACUGUAAUGGGAGAAACUGCAAUGAAUGGGCUUUCGGACCGGGGUUCAACUCCCCGCAGCUCCAUUA